UUUGGAGGGGCCAGUCUGGUGCCAGCAGCCGCGGAAACACCAGCUCAUAGCGUAUAUUAAAGUUGUUGCAGUUAAAAAGCUCGUAGUUGAACUUCGGGGUUCACCCAUUGGUCAGGCUUAAUUGUCUGCACUGGUGAGAUGAGUCUCUACCUUCUGAGGAACUUUCAUGUCAUUAAUUUGGUGUGAUUGGAAAUCAGGACUGUUACUUUGAAAAAAUUAGAGUGUUUAAAGCAGGCUAACGUCUGAAUACAUUAGCAUGGAAUAAUGAAAUAGGACGGACUGAUUCUAUUUCGUUGGUUUCUAGGAUCACCGUAAUGAUUAAUAGGGAUAGUUGGGGGCAUUAGUAUUCAAUUGUCAGAGGUGAAAUUCUUGGAUUUAUUGAAGACUAACUACUGCGAAAGCAUUUGCCAAGGAUGUUUUCAUUAAUCAAGAACGAAAGUUAGGGGAUCGAAGACGAUCAGAUACCGUCGUAGUCUUAACCAUAAACUAUGCCGACUAGGGAUCGGACGAAGUUAAUUUUAUAAUGACCGGCCACCUUACGGGAAACCAAAGUUUUUUGGGUUCA
rnacentral:rRNA from 1 species